GACGGAGGAUGCAAGCGUUAUCCGGAAUGAUUGGGCGUAAAGCGUCCGCAGGUGGCAGUUCAAGUCUGCUGUCAAAGACCGGGGCUUAACUUCGGAAAGGCAGUGGAAACUGAACAGCUAGAGUAUGGUAGGGGCAGAGGGAAUUCCUGGUGUAGCGGUGAAAUGCGUAGAGAUCAGGAAGAACAUCGGUGGCGAAAGCGACUGCCUGGCCAAAUACUGACGCUCAUGUGCGAAAGCGUGGGGAGCAAACAGG
rnacentral:rRNA from 1 species